rnacentral:rRNA from 1 species
UUGGCCUACGGGGCGCAGCAGUGGGGAAUAUUGCACAAUGGGGGAAACCCUGAUGCAGCAACGCCGCGUGGGUGAAGGAGCGUUUCGGCGCGUAAAGCCCUGUCAGCGGGGAAGAAGAUGACGGUACCUGACCAAGAAGCCCCGGCUAACUACGUGCCAGCAGCCGCGGUAAUACGUAGGGGGCAAGCGUUAUCCGGAUUUACUGGGUGUAAAGGGGGCGCAGACGGCAAUGCAAGCCAGGAGUGAAAGCCCGGGGCCCAACCCCGGGACGGCUCUUGGAACUGCAUGGCUGGAGUACAGGAGGG